UUUACUACUGAGCCACAACCCCAAACCCUGUCUCUGGAUUCUUGAAUUUUGAUUUUAUUUUUAUAAUUGGUUCAAAAAUCUGAAUUAGUAAAGGAGAAACAGUAUUCUCUGAAGGACAAAUGAUGUGUGAAGGCACAAAACACCAAUGAUGUAUAUUGAAUCACAGAUAUCCAUUAGGAAGUGAAGGAUCAGAGGAACUGUAACUUUGGAUGAGGAUCAUAUAUUCAUGAAAAAAAAUGUCCUCUGUCUUUGUUCUGGGCUGAAGCCCAUUCAAGGAAAAAGAAUUAUAGUUUAAUACAAACAUAAAUGACUAAUAAAAUGAAACAAAUGCAUGGAGUAACAGUGUCUUUAAAAUCUGUUGUACUUUGUACUCUUCGGAAUGAGUGUUCCAAGGAUGACCAGAGUUGCAAGGUCCAUGGAUCUUUCUUGUGUUCUUGGAGAAGAGACCAAUAAUGGACACUCUUCAGAUGAUGGAAUCAUUCUUCUCUGGCCCUGUGAUGUAUAGUUCCUUGUGAGUGUUAGGAACAGUGGGUGCUCCCGAGAUGUCGACAGCAUUCUUCUCUGGCCACAAGGUCGGUGGAUCCUGCUUACGUUCACAGUAUAGAGAUUAAUAAUGGACRCUCUCAGAUGAUGGAAGCAUUCUUCUCUGGCCCUGUGAUGUAUAGUUCCCURUGUGUGUUAGGAGUAUUGUGAGAAAGAUGCACUCUAUUUGAGUGAUGGAUUUCUGAAGUUGCCUGUCUUAUUGGGGAACUGAUAGAAAUGAUGGAUGUGCACGUGGGCRCAUGAUGACAGUGUGAGUCCUAGCCCCAGGCUCAUCCUGCUAGCCCAGGCUGCUGUUGAGGUGUUCCCUCUGAAUUUAAAAGGUGACCUGCACGGACCAGUAGAGAUAAGGUGUCAGUUUUGCUUCUGUGGUUUGUUCUGCUUUUCGUUUCCCUGAAGGAGACCCUGGGCUKUGCUGAGCAUUCUGCCUCCAUCGUGGGUGCAAAGGUUGCCUAUCUGGGUAGGAGCCUGGGCAGCAAGAGUGGACACACCCCGACUGAUCAAAGCACCUGGCCCCGACUGUGACCUCUGUGGCAGACCCUGGGUGCGGGARCAUAAAGAUCAACAUGUGGUCGUCAGUUACCAUCUUUGGGAAGUCUGUUUAUUUUGUU